GGGACAGACCAGGGGCCGGGUACCUGGCGUGGCUCCUUGGCCAGGGACAGUGGGCCCAGGCUAAGGCCAAGGUGGAGCCAGGGUCGGCUCUAGGAAGGCCAGUGUCUCCCAGGCUGGGUGGUCCUGCAGUGUGCAGACUGGAGCAGAAGGUCACUCCACAGUGGCUGCAUGUGGGAUGUGCAGUGAGGGGACUCUUCCACCCCAUCACAGGGACAGUCAGUGGCACCAGAGCUCCUCGGCCCUGCGGGGACCAGCAGGAGGCUGUGGUACCUCCUUGGGGUCCAUGAGAGCACAAGCUAGACUUUUGCAGUCCCCUGCAGAGGAGGCUGCCUGCAAGGUGGGGAAGAUGAGCCCCAGACCCGGCCGGCUGGUCUGGGUCAGCUCUGUACCGCUCAGUGUCCUUGGGGAGCUUGUCUGUACUUUAGCAUCUUUUCUUUUUCAUUUCAUCAGCAAAUACAAAAUGCUUGCUGUAGAAAAAUGCAGUAAUUGCCAAACUACCAAGUUAAACUUAGAAAAAGCAUUAACUUACUUUAUAACUCUAAAAGAAAAACCUACAUUUUUGUUGCUGAAGCUAACUUACCUCCAAGUUCUAAAAGUUGCGAAUUUUGUUUUUAAAAAAUGGUGCUCUAAAAUUGUCCCAAUUAAUUUUGUUAUGCCAUAAAAAAAAAUCUUCAGUGCAUUAAAUGAAAUAAUGUUUGCAACAUAGUCUUAUUUCAAUAGCUUUAUAUCAGUAAUAGGCCAACAUAUAAACUAAUACCCUCUUGGUAUAAACAGGAAAUACUAAUGGCAGUGUCAGUAUGGAACUUCACACCUGUCAAUUCACGGAGGGCACAAUUAAUAAUCAACUGAUUAGGCUAGUGAUAUUUAAAGAACAUGGUGAGUCACUGUACUUCCCACGGUAACCCAGUGUGCUAACAAUAGCAGUUUCAUGAUCUCGUGUUCUUCUCUAGUCUCCUUGUCUCCAGGUUGGAGUCACGCCAGGUGGAAUUCGUACAGGUGGCCAGAAUUUGACGGUCCCCCCGUAUCUGUGGUCCGCUCUCUCCAACCUUUGAUAAGUUUGUAAAGCCCACAGGGAUCUCUACGAAUGUGUUUUCACUCUUGAUUUUUCCAGUCCUCUUUGUUUUUCUGCCUUUUCAUUUUCCUUUGCCUGUCUAUUUAGCAUUUUCCAUUCAAGUUUGUGUAAAUCUCUUUCUUGACACCUGGAAAUUUUAUCAGCAGCAGUUUUCCUUUUUUUCCUUCUUUUCUGCCUUUUCCCUUAUCUCCUUUUCAAGCCUCAAAAGUCCUUCCAAUUUUUUUCUUCUCCUGGGUAUAACUUUCUAAAGUAAUUUUAGUCUAAACUGGCGUUGGUGCUCUUUCUGCUCCUUGUUCUCUUCCUCCUCUUUUAACUUCUUUAAAAUGUAAGAAAGAUAUUUCGUUGACAUUUGUAUACUUUCUGGUUUUCCAAGCUUCUGCUGGCAGUCUCUGUUUCUUCUUUUUUCUCUUUUUAUUUUUGAUCAUCAUCUUGUUUUAUUGUGAAGAAGUGUAAGCAUAUCCUCUGUCCUUAACUUGAAAUUUUCCUCCUUUUUUGCUGCUUUUAGUUUUCCAAUUCUGAGUAGACUCUUCUGUCUUUCUUGUAGAGUCAGAAAUUUUAUACAGCGUCUCAUGCACCUCAUCCUGUGUUCUUCCGGGCUGAUGUUCUAGAAUUUCUCCGGUAAGUGUUAGCAUCUGUCUGUGUUUGUUUCUCACUUUUACAAAGGUCUGGUGAUCAUAACCACCCCAUGUCUUUGUCGUCCACCCCUCACCUGCCCCCCACCCCCCCAUUUGCUGAAAGAGUUUUCCAGAAUCUACCAUUUCUUCUGGAAGAGGACGUGAUGACUGCAGGAGCUUCACUUGACGUUGCUCUGAAAGCUCUCUGUGUUUCUGAGGGACUCAAAGCCCAUGUGUCAGUUUUUCUGGAUAUGGCACUCGACUCAUUAUUAGUUGCUUUCUCUUCUUUAAUAAGCUCUUUAUAUGUCAACCUCUGCUCUUAUUUAAAGUGUUCAUGGUGUUCUCUGUUGUUUCUGUUAUUUCUCUGAGCUUUUCAACAAAAUCAGAUGUACGCGUCACUUCUUUUAACUGAUGCUGAAGUCUCUACAUCGUGUAUUUUGGCCAAUUGCUGCUGGAUUUUUGCUCUUUCUAUUUUCCUGCUGAUGAUUUAUUUUUCACUUCUUCCACCACACUGUGCUCAAUUCUGAAGUCUUUUUUUUUUUUGAUUGUGGAAAUGACUGUGUUCAUCUUUGUCUGUUAAUAACUUGAUUUUAAAAUUUUCCUGCUGUAUGUAUGAACUUUGCUUUCUUAGUCCAACUAACUUUCUGCUUCCAGUUUUGAAGCUGAAAAGGUUGAAUUCUGGCUGAAGUAGAAAAAUAGCCAUCAUUCUGUGCCACAACCAACUUUUUUCACAGAAUCACUGGGGCCACUGUGGGCAGGCGGCCUAGGUGUUUGUGCAGGGGGCACUGCAGAACCAGGAGAUGGUCCCCCGCACUUGGGGCUGGGCCUGUGAGCGUGCGGGAGGGAGAGGCGGGUGGACUGCCUUACUGCCUUCAUCUGCAGAACGGGGUGGUACAGCACCUGCCCCACAAGGCUGUUGUACUGAUGGAACUUGUUAGAUGUAGACCGGGAAUAGUUUACGACCCAGAUUAUUAUCUCUAGCUCCUCGAGUCGGUUUUUCUAUAUGUUGGCCUUGCUUAUUCUUUCUAAUGCUGCUGGCAUUUCUCACGCGCCUCAUUAUCCUUGGAUGUUCAGUCAUGCUUAAAACAAGUUUGGGUCACUAGAGUUUCUUCUGCUAUUGUAGGAAUAGGAUGAUUUCCUUCACAGGUCUCUCGAGAAAUAGUGACUGAGAACUCCAUGCGCAUCGGUGGACCAGAAACGUCCACAGUAAGCUUUCACUUUAGGGGCUGGUGAGCAGGAGCUGAAUGUCAGGCCCUGAUCCCCAGAUGUGGUUGGCUUUCAUACAUAGCAUAUCCUUUUUAUAGAUUUUCAGUUCAUAAGGCACUAAAGGGGAGUGGUGAUAUCCUAGAGUGGUGGAUACUGUGAAAAGAAUGUACAAAAUACAAAUAAAGUCUUUACAGAAGCUCUGCACUUGAUUAGAGAGAAGAAUCUGUUGCUUAAUUACAAGUGAAAUGUUUGUAUCACUUUGAAAUAAUGUCCUAAGAUUUUUUGUUUUUUUGAAAGUGACAUGUUAUUGACUCGCUAGGAUUGAGGAUAAUUACAGAAUCACUGUGAUUUUUUUGUAGAAUCACUUGUGAUUUAUUAUAAAUUCUUUAAUUUGUUUGAUUCAAAAAUAGGACAAUAGCUUUUAAAUAUUUUCCCCUGUGUGCUAAUAGCGUAUGUCUGGGCCACCUGCAAGCUCUGGAACCCAGGAGAGGAGGAUGAGGAACAAAGGAGGAAAUAUUUGCUAGUAAACAAGCCCUAUGACCCAAAAGUGGACCAAGAACUUUCUGUCCCAGUCUUAGGAGGUAGUCAGGAGCUCUGCACACUUCUCUACUGGAUUAGGUUUCACAACUUCCCUUGAUGUCAUUUGUUCUCUUUCCCCUGGCUUGAAUUAGGACUUCCCCUCCAGAGUUCUGCCAAGCCAGUUUCCUUUAGACCAAUUCAUAGUCAGCUAUUUCCACUGGAGUUUCAUGAAAAGAGCACUGAAUGAAAAGUCAGGAUAAAUGGACUUCUGAGGCCAACAUUCCUGCUUACUCUCUGACCCUAGAAGUCAAUGUUCAUACCAAGCCUGCACUUCCUAAACAAUUCACAUUCUUGUAAGGUAGAAAGAGCUUCCUUACAGAGUAAUGAGUUUCCUGUCAUAGAAAUUAUUCCAGAAAACAUUUGAAAACCACUUUUUAAGACUCUUGUAGAAUUUUUAUGUAAUAAGAAGAUUGGAUUUGCUGGUCCUAAAAAAUCUCUCUGAACCCUGAAACGCAAUGAUUUUCUGCUCUAGUUCUAUGGAAAGAAAGGAGGCAUGGAGGGAAUGGGAAGGCAACUUUAUGCAGCCUCGCAUGGAUUUCAGCCUUGGUCUUUGGAGUCGCACCAGGCUUCCCGAGCUUGUGCUUUGCCUGUCCAUUCUGACUCCAUGCAGAUACACACUUUCUUGGUGUCUUUCCAUUCUUUUUAAGCACGCUCAUAUAAGUAUCCUUAAGUCAAAGGCAGGUAGAUGCAUACCAUUAGUUGAAGGGAUGGCCAAUUACUACAAGCACAAGAUUUCUUUGAAUUCUUAUCUCCAUUUUAAAAAUCUAUGAAAAUUUAAAAUUAUACUUCAUCAUGUAUGUGUUUUGAUAUAAAAUAGUAUUUUAAAUCAUCUAUCGUUGGGGGCAGGGGAGGUGAAGAACUUGACCCAUGUAGAAAGAUGUGCCCCUGCUUUCUUCAGAUGCACAAGGCAAAUGCACUCUUCUUAAGAACCUCAGGUCAACAUGUUGGACUGGCACUCUGGAUCCAGAUUUAUUACCAUGACUUCUCACAGUCCCUGGGAUUUGCUUCUGCAAGGCCCACCUUCUGCAACACAGCAGGCCCCCAGUCCACAUGGAGCGGGGGAUGGUACACUGGGAAAAGUUUGUGUGUUGUGUCAGUAGCCCCCCUCUCAGUUCGUUCAUGCUUCUCUUUUCACCUGACUCUAUGAAUUGUUUACAAUGACAUAUUUUAGUAGAAUUAUUUCAGAACCUGUCUUCCCUCAAUCUGAAUGUGCCUCACUCAACUAAUAAAAUCCUUGCCCCUGAGAGAGAGUGUAUUAUGUGUUACAUUUUGCUAAAAUUCAUGAUGUGUCUUUGGAGAAGAAUUGUGCAUUUUAUGUAAUUUGUCAAGGACAGUUUCAAAAUGCAUAACAUCAUCAGUCUCACAGACAGUGUCUGAUGGGUUCACUCUGUAGUCAGUUUUGCCAAGUGCAAGCUAAGACUCAGACCAUCACACACCUGCUCCCUGCUGUUGUUUCAGAUGUAUCAUCUGUUGAAAAGACAACCAAGUUUAGGAAAAGAAUUCAUCCUUGAAGUAUUUCUUCUCUAAUUAAGUCAACAGAUGUUGUUUGAAGUGUAUACUGGGGAAUUUAUUACUUCAGUUUUAAAAAGUAAGAGGAAUUCACAGAUCUGCCUUCAUAAUAAUUGUCUUUUGGAUCAAGGUAGCCAGCCUGGUAAUGACUAAUAAUAGUCAAGAAUUUAUGAUGGUUGUCAUUUUCAACAAUUUGAAUGGCAUUUUCUAAAAGUGCUUUCACUUGAGUUAUCAUCUGGACUUCAGUAUUCCCCAGCUGAGUAUCUGAUCGCUCGUGGUGGAGGCUGGACAGACCUGGCCUGGCUCAAAUAGGCAUGAGGGACUGGGGCUGAUGGCAGAAAGUGGCUCUUACGGCCCCUGUGGCUGCAUGGAAGCAAAGAACAGACAGUGAUGUCAAAGGCAGAAAUGCACAGCUGAGGCAAUGACCAAGGCAGAAGAGCCUGAGGCAGGCAGCAAGUGACGGGUGCAGCCUGAGCAUCAAAGAGCCAUGAAGAUGGAAGCAGGACCUGCUACAAGAAAGAGGCAGGCAAGAGGGUGGGCCUGGCACACAGCCUGAAGAUGACCUCUUGUUGCUUCUUAAGGGUAAAGCCAGGACAGGAGGGUGCCCAGUGACCCAUUGAGGCUCAGUUUCUUAUCUUUCUCCUCUCCCUGCCUCACAGGGGUGUGGCAAAGGUCAAAUUCAGUCUUGUAUGUGAAGUCUAAUUGUCAUUAUUAUUAUCAUUGUUAACAUUUGUGAUAUAAUUGAGAAAUAUAUGGAAAGAUAAAUUUUAAAAAGUCAAAAAACCAAGCUGCAUGGUAAGAAUUUUGUGUGUGUGUGGCAGAACAAAAUAGGACAAAGCAUUUUGGUGUGUU
rnacentral:lncRNA from 1 species